UUUUACAUUUAUUGGGGCGUGGCAUGGAUUAUGAAAAUACGAUCAACAGUGAACACGUUAAAUUGCAGUCCGUCAAAGGAUUUGUACAAAUAAGAUUGUCUGUAAUACUUACUACGUCAUUGUCACACUAUCCGUAUUACAUGUUACGCUAAAUAUCUGUAUAGCAUACGUGUGAUAAUAUUCACGUCUCUUUCCUAAGGACAGUACCACCAUAUUCACAUCAAGCAGACGUGUGGGUUGAACUACUGCAACACUUUAGCUAUAAGAAAGUGAUCUUCAUCCAUAGUUCAGAUACAGAUGGUCGAGCAUUGCUUGGAAGAUUUCAGACGACUUCCCAGAAUUUGGAAGAUGAUGUUGAAAUUAAAGUUCAGGUAGAGUCUGUGAUCGAAUUUGAACCUGGUUUAGAUAGCUUCACGGAACAGUUAAUGGAGAUGAAAAAUGCACAAGCUAGAGUUUGUCUUUUGUACACUUC
rnacentral:lncRNA from 1 species